GAUAAGGAGAGACUCUUGCAUUAUUCCUUAAAGUAGUCGAAUUCAGACGUGCACUCCUUGUUAUGUUAAAUGCUAGUAGAAGUGCAAAAGCUAUGCCAUCCUGAAUCAUCUUAAAACAGUACCAUCAUAAUUUAUAAACAGCUCACCUCCUCCAUAUGCAAAAAUAUCUUAUUCCUACGGCUCCUGAUAUUAUCUUGAAUUUCUUGGAUUUCCAUUUUGGCAAAAUCCUGCACUGUUUCAGGUCCUUCAAUGAUACAGAAGCUGCACCGGGAAAGCAUCAAAUGAAAAAAAAAUUACAAUUUAAAAAAUGAAUGAACUUCAAAUUAGAGGUUACUGAACAAAGGGAUUUAUCACUGCUACAACUACUUGGGGACCAUUUAUUUUAAAAGAAUUUGGGGACCAUUAUCUUGGUACAAAAUAUAGAUAAAUAGGAGAUAACAAAUAGUCAAAUAUGCAUGUGGCACAUAAAUUAUAUCCAGAAGAAUGAUUCACAAUGACAAAAAAUCUAUCAUAACAAUUCAAGAAACUGUAUAAUAACAAUCAGAAUUUAUCAUGUCGAGAUCUAAUGUAAAUUGAAUCAAAUUUUUUUUUUUUCCAAACACUGAAAGAUGAUCAUAAAGCAGCAGGGAUUUUGAAAACUAAUCGCCAUAAAUCCGAGAAUUUCUUUUUUCGACUUGCAAAACACAGUACACUACUAAGCACUCUGAUGAAGUUGGAUAUCAUAUCAUACUCUAAGCCCAAGGCAGCAAUUUCUGAUUGCCAGAAAGAUCAAAGGAGUAAAAGAAUUGGCAUACCCAGAAACAUUUGUUUCAGGUGAAUCGGAAUCAAGCGGAGAAGAAGAAGAAGAAUCAUAAUCGGACGGCAUGGAUCGACAUUUGAGGUUGGUUUUGAGGUUUGGUCUGAAGGUCAACAAGGCAGAAUUAAUAUUAUUAUUAUAUAUAAAAAGUUGUGGCGAAGCAGGGUGGUAGGAAAGAGCUAAUAUUCGAGACGAGAGCACCAUUUUCUUGCUUAUUGUUGUUUGUUCAAUGCUUGAUAUAUCUUCAGACAAUGAUUUACGGGCAGUUUGAUUCAGACAAGAGGGAGGUUCAGUUUAGGCGGCAUUGGUGCAUGUGUCUGUUUGUUUAUGGUCUGAUUCGUCGACUCAACUCCGAUGUUAAUGUUCUCAAUUUUUUUGAUUUAUUUAAAAUUUUUGAAUUGAUCUUUUAAAAUUAUUUUAUUAAAUUUCCGAUAAUACUUUGGUUUAAUUAAAAAUUUCCAAUGUAUUAUAAAAUUUUAAUAUAUUUUAAAUGAACAGAUAAACCAAUUACUUCUGAUUAUAUUUGCUUUCGAUCAAAGUUGGAGUACAAAAAUCUAUAUACCAUUUGAGUCUCUUCUCUCUUUCUCUCUAGCAGCUUACAAAUACCAUAACGACAAACUCAUGUUAUAUAAUCAUUUUUAUUCCCAAUCAUCAUCUCCCCACCACCACUACACAUUCAUACACACAGAGUUCUGUAUUUUCCAGCCAGCUCCUUCCUUCAUUCUCCGGCGAGACCAUAUUUUCCGGCAAGGUGGUUUGUCUCUUUACUGUGAUUCGAGUUUUUUGAGGUCUUCGUUUGAGGCUCCGAGGUUUGUUGGUUUGGUGUAUGUUACUUCUACCGACGGAUAUAUUUUAGGUGGUCAUCGUCCUCUUCACGAUCGUGUGCGGGAGAGACAGCGUAGCGGUGGUGGCCGAGGGUUGCGGCGACGACAGUUCCGGGAUCAGUAUAGAAGGAUGGCGUUAAUCGUGCUGAGGGCGUUAAUUGUGCCUACUAAUUGGCCUCAUAGUUGAGGGCGUUUAUUGUGCCUCAUAAUUGAGGGCGUAAAUUGUGCCUUAUUUGAAGGCGUUAAUUAUGUCUUAAUUGAGAACGUUAAUAUUUUAUUAA